rnacentral:tRNA from 2 species
AGGGGCUUAGGCUCGAACAAACCAAGGGCCUUCAAAGCCCUAAUCGGGGGUGGAAGCCCCUCAGCCCCUG